ensembl:processed_transcript Gas5 growth arrest specific 5
CUUUCGGAGCUGUGCGGCACUCUGAGCAGGAAUGGCAGUGUGGACCUCUGUGAUGGGACAUCUUGUGGGAUCUCACAGCCAGUUCUGUGGCAAAGGAGGAUGAAGGCUUACGAGGACUCGUCAGGAAGCUGGAUAACAGAGCGAGCGCAAUGUGCUAGAAUAGAAGACCAGAAAAUGAAAUGGUGGAGUUUGAGGCUGGAUAGACAGUUUGAAAGGGCUCCUGUGACAAGUGGACAUGCAGUGACUGUACCUUUGUUUCUGAGGUGCCUGGAUGGAGGCUCAAAUAGAAGAUGGUGUCAGAUAUAUUGUGUUAAAAUUUUACCAUUAAAGUGUAUUAUAACAUGAA